ACCACAGCGCCCCCCACAGCAACCACCACAGCGCCCCCCACAGCAACCACCACAGCAACCCUCACAGUGGCCACCACAGCAACCACCACUCUACAGAACACUACUACAGCUCAGAGUCUGCUGGGAACUGUGCUGAUUUAUAUUCGGCUGGUCUUUAAGAACGUGACCACUGUUCCCAGCGAGGCAGACAUCCUUACUGCUGCCAAUUACCUGCUGGACUCCAGCGUCCGAAUGAGGAGAAACGUCCAAAUGCUGAAACUCAACAACCCAGUGAGCAUCCAGAACAUCACCUAUCAGAAAAUGGGUAAGAACUCCUACAGUAUCAGCUUCGGGUUUAAGAUCAGUAAUGUAAACAUUUCACCAAAUCCUGAGAUGAGGAAUGAAACGUAUACUGCCAUUCAGAACACAGUUAACGGCCUGGUGAGCAGAAACUUCUGAAUCACUUAAAUUCAAGUUUCAUUAUUUAAUAUCAUUUUAAUCGUCACAGAUUUAUAUUUAAUGUUUUUCUCUUUCAGCUGAAUAAAAUAUUAAAUUCUAAAAAUGCCA
rnacentral:lncRNA from 1 species